AACUUGAAUAAGUUAUGAGAUAAAAUUGGAACGAUACAGAUAAGAUUACCAUGACCCCUUUGCAAGGAUGAUCAAGAAGUUUCAAUACUAGAAAAAACCAGUU